CCUAUAAUCUUAUGUGUAAGGAUUACAGUUACAUCUAAUGACUGUUUUUAAAUUGGUCAGAACACAGACAAAACACAGCAAAACCAGAAUUCCACCUCAUCAGAAGGACUAAAAAUUACAACAUGCAACAUACUCAGGACUCUCUGGAAAUAAUCUGUGUUUUACUGGGGAUAUUUCUGGGAGAACUUCCUCAUAAGUACAGCUGCAUGUCAACAGGAGAGUCAUUUUCUGUUGGAUCAGUGAACUAUCAGAAUCACCACAUGAUGCAAAACCACUAAUGCGGAUGCAGGGAGGAAGAAACUUUUCCCUCGUUAAGACUUGUAGAGUACAUUGGAUAUAAAAAUAAGAGAAACAUACUCAAAGAAAGGAUGGCAGAUUGGUCAUGUGUGGUAAACUACUUGUAAGAAUGAAACUCUUAUACUGAUAUUUUCAUCACAGAAACUGAUUGGGAAAAGUCUCCAGUAUAUUUGUAUGUACGCUUACUCCAAAGGGCUAAGCAUCAAGGUCCUGCCUGUUCUAUGCUGUCUCACUAGCUAGUGGUGAGUUGGAGUUGCGGUGUGUUAUGCAUUCAGAUACGGUAUGGUUAAGACUCAUGAAACAGCUAUGUCAGACAUUUAUGUUUUGCCUCUGCCAA
rnacentral:lncRNA from 1 species